rnacentral:lncRNA from 1 species
UAAGAGCAAAUGAAACUUACUUCUCUGUGAUGAAUGAGAAACUGGAAUCAUUCUGAAGACCUGCAACAUGUAGGCUGAGGAGAGAUCCACUGCUUCUUGUGACUAGCAGUCGAAGCAUCCGAUCGAGAUGGUGGGGCUGGCAGCGACAGGUCCAUUCAUCAAGAUCUAUAUCUUGCCAACAAUAGGGACCCGUGAUUGCCUUACACCAGGAUUUGCAGACACAGGGAAUGACCACCAGUAACUCUUGUAGCGACAGGUUGGUGAAGAUCAACCCCAAUACAUCAGGAGGUAGUUGAUCCCAGUGUCGAAACUCGCUUUGCUCUUCUUCCAUCUGAUCUUCAUUCAAGUCAUGAAGGUCAUAAUCAAAUCACAACAGGAAAUAAUAAAAAAAAUCAAAGAUUAGGUGUUACCUUGUAUCACUUUCCUUGCCACUAUGCAAAACCUAAACACAAAAUCAAAGGCAACAAAAAAAGAAAAGAGAAAAGUAGGCAUAGAAUAAGACAACUGAAGUAUCUAUAUAUAUACACGUAAAAACAUGGUGUUUAGUUGGAAAACGAAGACGAAUAGGCAUGAAAGGCCGCUACUUAAUGCGGUAAUUAGAUAUUUUGUGUGCGUUGAGUGUAUGAAAGGUUGGAGAUGAGUGAUUCCAAUGUCCAAAAUUAGUGUUUAGAAUAAAUUUUCAACAAUUUUUUCUUUCAUAUGAAGAGAUAUUUAAUAUGUUUUUCUUCCCAAAAAAACCAUACUUAAUCUUCAUUGCUUAAUUUAUUAAACCACAUUAUUAUUUUUCACAAUUCCAAUAUAAAUUAACAGUUUUUUUCUAUAUAAAUGAAAGUCUAUUUCCAAUAUCUCAGAUGAUUUAUAAAAUAAUAUGAUGACGAAUUUAAAACUAUUUUUUAUUCAAAAAUUCCGAAAAAGUUCUUUUUUAAACAAAUCUUAAUAAUUUAAAAUAAUACAUAUUAAAAAAUAUAAUUUUAAAAUUUCUCAUCGGGAAUAGUGCAAUAUUUUCAAUGAAAAUCAUUAAAAUCCAAUAAAUAUGACAUUUAAUCUUAGAUUAUUGUUAUUAUACAAAUACUUUAUUAAUAUUAAAAAAUAUUAUUUACAAAAAAUUAAAAUUCAAUGGUAAAUAAUAUUGAGAACACUUCCAAGGGUUGCUAAGUUGAAAAGCUCUAGCCUAGGCAUUGUAGCAGAUACUUUAUUAAUAGGGACCCGUGACUGCCUUACUCUAGGAUUUGCAGACCUAGGGAAUGACUGUCAGUAACUCUUGUAGCGACAGGUUGGUGAAGAUCAACCCAAUACAUCUGGAGGUAGUUGAUCCCUGUGUCGAAACUCGCUUUGCUCUUCUUCCAUCUAUCUUCAUUCAAGUCAUGAAGGUCAUAAUCAAGUCACAACAGAAAAAAAGGAAAAGUCAAAGAUUGAGGGUUACCUUAUAUCACUUUCCUUGCAACUUGGAUUAUUAUGCAAAACCUAAACACAAAAUCAAAGGCAACCAAAAAGAAAAAGGAAAGACGUAAUAUAGGAAGAGAAAGGUAGGAAUAGAAUAAAACAACGUAAGUAUCUAUUGUUGUAACCCAAUUUUGUUCGUAACCCAAACAAAGACAAAAUAAAUAAAACUCAAAUUACAAGCCCAAACCAAUACAAAAUCCCAAAGCCCAAUAGGCCACAACCUAAACUUUUUUUAAAAAAACUGAAAACCCUAGAUCCCCUAUGCGCUGCUGCUCUUGGCCACAUCAGUAGAUGCGACGCUUGAGGACUGCCUCCCCUAUCAUCAUUUCACCGAAAUGGCAAGGGUGCGACUCCCAUCGUCGUUGACCACCAUCGCGACUUGCAAAGAAGAAAGAAAAAGACAGAAGCAGAAAAAACAAAAACAAAUAUUUGUAAUCACUCGGCUAUAAAAGCCGAAUAAUCAAAUUGCAAUAGACACGAAGAAAAAGCAAAGAGAUAUAAAAAUUUCCAGUUCUAAAAAGGUCGUUGAAUCCUUGGGGAUUCGCUGAAAGGCAGCGUCGAAGGAGAGCCAGGAACCUAAAUGUCCCUUUUACUUUUUCGAAUUCUGGCUAGAUUUUAGGGAUUUCGGCCUUAGAUUCGAGUUCUUCACGAAACUGAGAUAAAAAAAGGGGUUUUUUUACAACUCUGGUCACCGAAGGUUACGCCUACCGUCGCUGAUGACCGAUGGCCAUGACGGAGUGCCAACGGCCUAGUGGGCGAAUUCAAGGGUGAUUUCAGAGAAAAAAAGAAAAGAAGGAAGCUUUUAAAAAAAAAUGUGUAGAAAUGUUUUUUAUUAUAUUUUUUACUUAAAUAGGGCACAUAAAUAAAGCCGUUUUGUCGUGGCCCUAAAUGCCCCAAAAUGAUGUCGUUUUGGGGUCAACCCGAUGACCCGACCCAGAUUCCCUUAAGAUCCACAUGUUUUUAAAGAGGAGGGUCUAAUUUAUUAAAGGAACCUUUUGUCCUUUUUUCUUCUGUAUUGUAAUCACAACAUGUGAAUAAAUAUAUAUUAGCACACAACACUAAAGAUAAAUCGAAUAAAAAUGGUGCCAAAACCUCUCAUUUAAAAAAAAAAUACAAUUUCACAAAAAAUUAAAGAAAUAAAUAAACUAGGGUCAGAUCGAAUCGAACUUAGGUAUACUACUAAUUUUCGAUUUUGGGUUUGGAGAGUGUUAAAUUUUUUUUUAAAGUCGGGGUUGGGUUGGGUCAAGGUAGGGCAUGGCAGUAGAGCAUCAUGUCGUUGUCAGGGCAAGUAAAAAAUUUCUCCACCCCGUUCCCAUCACUAGUUAAUCAAUGGGUUAUAAAGGGCUAAAAAUGAUUUUUUUAAAAAUAUUUUUAAAUUUUUUAGAGUUACAACUAAAUUGAAAAAUUUUGUAAAUGUUGAAAGUUAAAUUUAUUUAAUUUUUUAGAAUUAGAACUAAAAUGUCAAAUUUUGUAAGCAUUGAGGGCUAAAAAUUGUUGACUUUUUAUAUUUAGGAUCAAAUUUAUAGAAUGUGUAAUCAUUAGAGGGAUAAUUUUGUUAUUAGACCAAUAAGCAAAAGCCCCUGCCAACUAAAAAUGGCUAAAAUAUUUAAUUUCGAAAAAUUUAGUGAUUAAAUCAAAAAAAUUAAUAGUUGGGUGACCAAAUAGAACAAAAGCAAAGUUGAAUAGCCAUUUUCAUAGUUUACCCAUAAAAAAAAUAAUUUUCAGCAUCUUCCAUUGUAAAUAAAAAAUCAAACCGAUGGGCUAAUUUACACUUUUCAAAAUGUAUAAAGAUUAAUUUACUAAUUUUUUUUAGUAAAAAGACUGAAAUAUAAUCCGCCCCUAAGUACAAGAGUUUAUAAAACACAUUGAUCAAGUUGUAAAUUGGAAGAUAAUGCGCCACAUCUUCCCACAUUAACAUCAAUACCCAUACCAAUUAUUUAAAUUUUGCUUAACUUCAAUUAUCUAUUUGAGUUCCAAUGCUUCACAAUCCACCCGUAACUUCAGUUAUCAGAAAAUUAGUCUAUAUUAAGUAGAUAGUUAUCAGAAAAUAAAACAAAUAUUAAUUAUCAAACCAUUCAGCAUGAAGCAUUUCAAUGGAACAUGGAAGAUUAAAUGACAACAAAGAUUAAUAUCAUCUAUCAUAACAAAACACAUAAAAAGAUACAAGUUUGGUUUGAAUUGAAACCCUAACUUGGCAAAUUAUAAUAGAAAGAGCCCACCAGAGACUGCUUUGACUAUUGUUGUUCUUCUUCCUCGCGCUUCGCUGCUUCUUUAAUCUCAUCAUCAUCCUAAUUAAUGAAAGAAUAAUCAAUUAAAUUAUUUUAGAAGUAUCAAUUUUGUUUUGGGCCAGAAGUAUAGGUGGAAAUUUUAUUGACCUGCAUGUCGGAGGUCCACAGAGUGAGAUUGUCACGUAGCAGUUGCAUGAUGAGGGUGCUGUCUUUGUAUGAUUCCUCCCCUAGUGUAUCCAACUCAGCUAUUGCUUCAUCAAACGCCUGUUUUCCAAUCACAAUCCAACACGUCAGCUACUCGCCAUUUCUGAACUUAAAAAAAAAAAACGAGUAGGUAACCGACCUGUUUAGCCAGUUCGCAAGCGCGAUCAGGAGAAUUGAGAAUCUCGUAGUAGAAAACAGAGAAAUUGAGGGCUAGACCGAGUCGGAUCGGGUGAGUUGGAGCCAACUCGGCGUUGGCAAUCUCCUAAGAAACAGAGAAAGAAGGUUCAGCACGGACAUUUUCAUUAAAAAAAGUAGUUCUCUAAGAGAAUGGAGUCGGAAAGUGGAAACCUGAGCGGAUUUGUAGGCAGUGAGAGUACUCUCAGCAGCUUCCUUACGUUCGGCGCCAGUUUUGAAUUCAGCCAAAUACCUGUGAUAAUCUCCCUUCAUCUUAAGAUAAAAGACCUUUGAAUCUCCACCGGAAGGCGAAGGGAUGAGUGUGGUGUCAAGGAGUUUCAAGAUCCCGCCACAGAUCGAGGAGAGCUCGGACUCGAUCUUAGCCCGGUAAUCACGUAUAACGGCCACGUGAUCCUCGUUACCACGGCUCUCCUCUUUCUGCUCAAUGGAGGAGAUGAUGCGCCACGAAGCACGGCGUGCGCCGAUCACGUUCUUGUAAGCAACGGAGAGGAGGUUGCGUUCUUCGAUGGUGAGUCCCUCGUUGUCGGCGGCGGAAGCCGAGACUUUCUCCAUGAAGUCGACCAUUUCCUCGUAGCGUUCGGCUUGCUCAGCGAGUUUCGCCAUGUAGACAUUUUCUUCGCGAGUGGCGGCGGCCAUUGUGGAUUUUCGAAUCAAGUUAGAGGGAAGAGAAGGUUUUUUGAAAAUUUUAGAGGGUGAGAAAUGUGGCAGUGAUGGGGAAGAAGAAAUGUGGAGUGAUAGAUAUAGGAGGCAAAAAGGACAGGGAUUAAAAAGGUCAAGUUGCCAAACACGGACUUUUCAGUUUUCUGAGCUGUUUUGAGCAUAUCAACAGCUGCUCUCUGUUACUUUCUUCUUCUUUUUUGUGUUCAAAUAUCUCAUAAGUCCCUCUACUAUUUAUAAAUUUAAAUUUUAGUUAUUAUACUUUUAUUUCUAGGAUUUAAUCCCUCUACUUUUCAGAUUUAAAAUUCAGGUCCAACAGUUAAUAAUGGGAAAAUUAUUUUGUUAAAUUCAGUAUCAUUACAUCACCAUUUUUUCAUUACAUUGUUAACACGGGAAUUUUUUUUAUUCUUUCAAAACAUCACACAACCAAAUUUAACAAUAAAAAUUUAAAAGUAUUCGCAAUUAUCAAUUAGAAUUAAAUUUUUAAAAAUAAAAAUAUAGGGACUAAAUUUUGAAUUUAUAAAGAGUAUAAAGACGUAAAGUAUAUUUUUUUUGUGUUUUUGCUUUUUGACGGUGGAAAGAUGAGUUUGAAUUUUGAAACUAAUGGGUUUGUUCUAUGCAAUAAUUAUUACAACUGCACGGGAUAGAUUUACUGUUUGUUUAGUAAGUUCUUUUUAGAAGAAAAAAUAUGUUAAAUAAAUUAUUUUUUGUUUUUCAAAAGUAUUUUUGAAAUCAGAAAUUAGAGAUUUAACCGAUGGCAUGAUUGAAAAUGUCUAAAAUUGUUUCAAUUUGAUAAAAAAAAAACAGGAAAAUUUGGUUAAAAUUUGAAAAAAAAAAGAUUUUUUUAAUUCUAAUAAAAAGAUAAUGGCAGAAAUUAGCUUAUACUUUACCAAACCUUCCAAAUUUGUGGAAUGUGAUAGCUGAAAAAAGUUUAGGAUUUGAAUGGUAGGGAUGUAGAGGAGGUACACUGUCAUGAGCAUGUAGUGGUCCAAUGGUAGAUGGUGACGGAUGAUGUUUUUUUUUUUUUGAAACUUCGCUUAAAUUUCUGUGAAUUUCAUUUUUUUGUUGUUUUUGAGGAAAUUUAAAUUAAGAAAGAGAAAUGGUAAGAUAACUUGUUCGCUUGGCAGUUUAAUAGUAACAUAUAAAUGGUCAACUUUAGGUGUCUUCGUAAAUAUUAAUUUUAAUAAUAAAAUUUUUAUUUAUUUUUUUUACUUAACAGAUAUCUGAACUUAAAAUCCUUCACACUUUAAUAUUUGUUAACAUGCGAUAACGUGACAUUGACAAUCAAUAGUAUAACAUCCUAAAAUUAUGCUACAUGACAAACAUUAAUUAAUAAAAUAUAAAACUCUAAAAAAUAUUUAAACAAGUGGGUGUCUAAAAUAAUUAAAUGGAUGUAUUUUUAGUAAUUUUAUCCAUUUUACUUUUUUUUUUAAAAAAUUUGAUCUCACGGAAGUAAAUGCUUUUUACAUUUUAUAGUUGAUUUUUUGAGUUUUUUUUUUUUUAAAUUUACGAAGUGCUCUCAUCAAUUUAGCCACCAAUUUGAUUUUGACAAAUAUGGUUUUUAGGAACUUUUUCCUUUAGCUCGCCAGAUUUAGGGUUUUUUACAAAAAUAAUAUAAAAAAAUUAAAAAUUACUAAAAUGUUAUAAUUUUUUUUAUUUACCAAAAUAUAUAUAAAUUUUUUUAUUUACCAAAAUAUAUAAAAAAACAAAAAAACCAAAAAAAAAACCUGGACUGAUUUGACAACUCCCUGGGACAAGGGAACACUGUUGGCGGCACCAAACAAGGGAACCCUGUUGGCGGCACCAAACAAGGGAACCCUGUUGGCGGCACCAAACAAGGGUUCCCUGUUGGCGGCACCACUCGUGUUAUAAACACGAACUCUGUCCAGCUGAAACAAGAAAAAUCAGAAGAAAAAGAAAAGAAAGAAGAGGUGCUGCGGAAAAAAAGAGAGAAAGAGAAGAGAGAAAGAAGUUAUUUUUUAAAAAAUAAUUGAUUAUUUUGUUGUUAUUGUUUUGUAUAAUUUGUAUUUUUUUUAGUUUAGUUAUUAAAAUUAAAAUCAAUAAAACUCAAAUUAAUAGUUUUAGUUAGGGUUUUAUUAUCAAAAUAUUACAAAAAAAUACAAACGUGUUAAUGUACAAACAUGUGCCAUGGGAUCUGCAUCAUGCUGGGCCAUGGUUAUUGUUCAAUUUCUUUUUACCAAUAUAAUUAUUUUAAAGUUGCAUNNNNNNNNNNNNNNNNNNNNNNNNNNNNNNNNNNNNNNNNNNNNNNNNNNNNNNNNNNNNNNNNNNNNNNNNNNNNNNNNNNNNNNNNNNNNNNNNNNNNGCCUCCAUUUUCGAUAUAAUAUUAAUAAUUCCAAACGCCAUAUACUAUUUUAUAACUUAAUUUGGAUACAAUGUAAUCAUAACCAUUUGUAUAGUUUUUAUCAUUACACAUAAAAAUUUUACAAUAUUAGGUCAAUUACGACCCGAUCCGGACGACUGUCCAACAUGAAAGUUUCGGUUAGGGCAUUUAUUCCGACUAUGACCACUUAACCUGCAUAAUCCACAACGCUUUCCGUCAGACUUCUCCCUGAUGUCUAUUUCAUUACGGAUUCUGCUUGACUGCGGACGACCUCUCAGAUUCCUCCGCAGCCCUCUGUCUGGGAGAAGCUCGAAAGUAGUCAAAGGCACCUCCCACGUUGAUAGGUCAGGCAAGACGGGGAACUCAUUUUCCCAGACACGCAAUGUGCGCUCCAGCGUGUACACAUCAUCGACAUAUUGUUCAACAUUGACGUUAACUUUAGCACACGCUGCCACGGCAUGCGCACAGGGAUAAUGAAGUGUUUCGAACCUUCUGCACUCGCACCGUCGGUUUCGGAGAUCAACUUCGUAAGACCUAGUUGGUAUACCAGGUCGACGACUGAUGCUCUCAGUAACUUGAAAUGUUUCCAGUCGUCGUGAAUAUAUUUCUACAUUCAUUGACCUUGCCAACCGACGGUUUACGACCAUUGUAUCCCUGACAUGUUCGACAAACACGUAUCCCGCCUCAAUCUGGUCGACUUGCUGCUGAGCCAUUCUUGGUAUCAAAGUAGCUAGCCUGUAGAAAGUAGCAGAAAAUACAGAUGCAAUCGGAAGAUGACGUGUUUUUAACAAAACAGCGUUGAUCCCCUCGACUAAGUUUGUGGUCAUUUGGCCAUAACGAAAGCCCUCGUCAAAACUUUGAGCCCAUUGCCACGGCUCCAUUGUGCCCAACCAUUGUCGGAAAGAUGUGUUUGUCUGCCCCUCCAUGUCACUCUCAAGUCGAAUCAUUUUUUGCCGGAACAUAUGUGGCUCUAACUCGUACGCUGCAUACGUAUUAAGAAAAAUAAGUUCUAGUAACUCCAUAACAUGAAACAUUACAACUUAUAUUGAAAAUAUAAGGUUAUCAUUUACGCAUUGCCACGACUUGUCUCUUCCAGUCUGCAUUCUUGUAAUCUUUGUGGAAGUUAGCCGCAAUGUGACGGAUGCAGUAAACGGAUCUCCACGGCACACCGGAACGCCUGAUUGCUGCAAUUAAACCCUUCCCUCUAUCGGAGAUGAUGCAAAUGUUAUCGUUGUUAAUAACAUACCUCCGUAGGUUUGUGAGGAAGAAUUCCCAAGACUCCAUGUUCUCUUUAUCUACGAUAGCAAAUGCUAUCGGGAGCACGUUUCUGUUGCCGUCUUGAGCAACUGCAAGAAGUAGGAUCUGUGUAUAUUUUCCAUACAGCCAAGUCCCAUCUACCUGCACAAGUGGCUUGCAGUGGGGAAAUGCCCGCACACAUGGAUUGAACGUCCAGAACAUCCGAUGGAAAAUCCUUUUUGCCGGCUGUAACUGGUCAUCCGGGCCGUAAUAUGGUCUUGUCUGCAACUCAAUCACAGUCCCCGGUACAUACUCCCGCAUAGCAGCUAUCCAACCUUGAAGCUCGUUAUACGAUGAAUCGUAAUCUCCAUACAGUUGCUUCAUCACCAUCUGUUUAGCAAUCCAUGCCUUUCGAUAUGAGACUCGAUACUGGAAUCGUGCUUGCAUUUCGAUAAUCAGUACCGAAACUUUAAUGGUCGGCAUGUCCUUCACCAUUGGCAUAAUACACGUACAGAUUGUUUUUGAAUCAAGUUUUCUAUGAUCUUCUGUCAUACGUGUUGAUGUGCAUGUAUGAGGACCAACAAAUUUUCGUAUCUCCCACAUCUGAGAACUUUUAAUGAAUGCAGCUCGCACCCGCCAAUUGCAGUCUUCCGCUGCCUUUCAACACUCCCCAACAUAUAUUGUCGGAGUAGACACUGUGACUUUAUAAUCAACUGAUAUAUUCAUGAUGUAUCGUUUGAUGGCAUAUACGCACUCUUCUUUACAGCUGAAUCUCUGGCCUAUGAAUAACUCCUCAUCAUCAGAUGUUACGGCCAGCCCGUGACGAUGAACUAUUUCAGGGUACUCUGGGAACUCAACUACAUACGCUGCGUCGGGGUCUAUGAGCGACAUGUGUGGCCCAGGAUUAUUGUGUAUCAAAAUAUGCCGCAUCUGCUCCCCGAUCAAAGAAGCGUUAAUGUCUUCAUCGUCAAUAUCAUCAAGUACAUCGUCCACAUCGGGAUCACCGUCACUAUCGACCUCUUCAUCCCAACGAUCACCACCACCUUCUUCUUCGCAACCACAUUCUUCUUCACCACCAACCAUAUCAACAUCGGAUGUAAUAUUCACGUCGAUACCGAUCCCACCUAUAGUUGAUUCACUAUCAACGUAUGAUAUUGGAGCCACCAUCCGCGGUUCUUCAGCCCCGUCUUCUUCAUCAGAUGCAUUUUGCUCCAUACCGACUAACUCAGUAAAUAAGUGAAUCGGUGCAUUCUUGUCACUCCCGUUCCCACAGUAGAGAUCGACCAUUGUCUCAACGUCUUCGUCAUCUGCAAGUUCCAUUUCGACGAAUUUGACUGGAUUUGUCGAAACUGGAAACUUGUAGAAAAUUUUUACUAUCCUUCUCCCACAACGUCUUAAAAUUUUUGCAUUAAUCCUUGNNNNNNNNNNNNNNNNNNNNNNNNNNNNNNNNNNNNNNNNNNNNNNNNNNNNNNNNNNNNNNNNNNNNNNNNNNNNNNNNNNNNNNNNNNNNNNNNNNNNNNNNNNNNNNNNNNNNNNNNNNNNNNNNNNNNNNNNNNNNNNNNNNNNNNNNNNNNNNNNNNNNNNNNNNNNNNNNNNNNNNNNNNNNNNNNNNNNNNNNNNNNNNNNNNNNNNNNNNNNNNNNNNNNNNNNNNNNNNNNNNNNNNNNNNNNNNNNNNNNNNNNNNNNNNNNNNNNNNNNNNNNNNNNNNNNNNNNNNNNNNNNNNNNNNNNNNNNNNNNNNNNNNNNNNNNNNNNNNNNNNNNNNNNNNNNNNNNNNNNNNNNNNNNNNNNNNNNNNNNNNNNNNNNNNNNNNNNNNNNNNNNNNNNNNNNNNNNNNNNNNNNNNNNNNNNNNNNNNNNNNNNNNNNNNNNNNNNNNNNNNAUAAAUUUUUAUUUUUUUGUAAUAUUUUGAUAAUAAAACCCUAACUAAAACUAUUAAUUUGAGUUUUAUUGAUUUUAAUCUUAAUAACUAAACUAAAACAAAAAAAAAUACAAAUUAUACAAAAUAAUAACAAUAACAUAAUCAAUUAUUUUUAAAAAAAUACCUGAUUUUUCUCUUCUUUUUCUCUCUUUUUCUCUUUUUUUCCGAACCACCUCUUCUUUCUUUUCUUUUUCUUCUGAUUUUUCUUGUUUCGGCUGGACAGAGUUCGUGUUUAUAACACGAGUGGUGCCGCCAACAGGGAACCCUUGUUUGGUGCCGCCAACAGUGUUCCCUUGUCCCAGGGAGUUGCCAAAUCAGUCCAUUUUUUUUCUGUUUUUUUUGGUUUUUUUGUUUUUUUUGAUAUAUUUUGGUAAAUAAAAAAAUUAUAUAUAUUUUGGUAAAUAAAAAAAUUAUAACAUUUUGGUAUUUUUUAAAUUUUUUUAUAUUAUUUUUGUAAAAAACCCCAGACUUAUUUUGGAUGAGCGUCCAUGGCAUCAAUUACUUUAAGUUAGAAUUAUUUCUAUUGCCACAACGGUAACUAUAUGCAUAAAGACUCAUGCAUCACAGUUUUAUUUCUUUAACAGUUGAGAGUGUCGUAUGAUUGUAAUGAUCGUGAAAACAUCUUGGAGUCUCUUUUGUCACCUACUUAUUAACAAAUAAGCUGACUUGGUUUUGAAUUGGGUCAAAUUUACCAAUUUAAAAUUUCGAAUUCAGUCAUCAAAGAUUAAAAGCAUGAUUCAAAGCAUUACAAGUUAUUUGUUUGAAUUAUUUCAUAUUUGAGUGAUUUUUAAGUACAUAUAAUUCAAAUAAAGCAAAUUCAAAUAGUUAGGCAGUAUUUAGAAAAGUCAUGCAAUAAUUAAAUUUGGGUGUAAUUGUUUGUAAUUACACAAAUGUAGUAUGUGAAGGUAAUCAUUGUCAUUGCAAGGUCCCAUCGAACUAGAUGCAGUGGAGCAUCCAAUUACAUUUUUCAAUUCUUAAGAGUGAGAAUUAGAAUAAUUACACAGGUAAGUACACCCAAAUUUAAUUUUAAAAAAAUAUUAUUAUACAAGUUAUAAAAAUUACAUUAUACUCAUGGACAUGUAUGAGUGUUUGGGAUAAUUAUGGUAAAAAAAAUUCUUAUAUUAUAUAUCCUAGAAAAUCAAUUAUAACAAUAAUUUGUGUGUUUUACAAAGUUAUAACAAAAAAAUUAUUAGAUCUUGAUAAAUUUUUAAAGUUAUAGCAAAAAAGUUUAUUGUAAAAAAUAAUUUACACAACCAAGAAAUAUGAAUAUAACUUAUUUAUGUAUCCAUGCUAUUUAUUCAUAAAAAUAAUAUGCUUAUAAUUUUUUUUAUCUUAACUUAUUUAUAAAAAAAUAGUUUUCUAAAUUUACCGUAAAAAAUAUUAUUUAUAAGAAAUGUUAUGAAAGUUUUGGACAAUUUAUAAUUAUUUUGUAAAGAUUAUAUAUUAUUUUUACUUAAUAUAUGUAAUGUUAAAAGGGACAUGACCUAGUAUAAGUUUGUCACCAAAUUAAGUUUAUGUAAGUUAUCAUAAUUAAAGCUGCAUAUUAUUUAAACUAUGAAUUCAAAUAUUAUAAGGUCAAUACGAAUUAUGCAAAUAGAAAAUAUUUUCUUGCACCAUAUUGUAAGGUAUAAUAUCAUUUGAGAAAAUGGGGUCAGGCACAAUUACCAUAAGCAACUCAGGAAAACUCUUUAGUUUGAGACAUUCAAAAUUUUAAAAUGUGGUUGAGAAGAUAUUUAUUGUUUUAAAAAAAAUAGUUUUCGUAUUAACAAAAUCACCUUAGUAUAGCAUAAAAAAAUGUUGAAUCGUACUAGCAUAUCACAUGUUUCACAAUUUUAUCAUAUAUGGAAUUAAAAUAAUUCAUACUUUGAAGAGUACAUGGAAGAAAAAGAUAUUAAUAAUCUUAACGAUACAGAUGCAGAUGCAAAUUCAGAUGAUGAGGAGUUCGACCAAGGACCAACAAAUGAUGAUAAGGAGCAUAUGUUAAAUAUUAAAAAGAGAAUAAUCCAACAAAUACGCAUUAAAACAAUUAGAUAAAAUUGCAAAUGAUUUUUAUUUUUCUUGUUAUUUUUAUCCGUAAUUGUAUUAUCAAUUACCUUUUUAAACCAAUAUAAUUGCAUAUGAUGAUUUAAUUUUAAUUUUUAUUACUUAUUUAAAAAUUAUUUUUAUCAUACUAAUAAUUUUUAUAAUUUAAAAUAUAAAAUUUGUAACUCUAUAAUUACAAUUCUCAAAGGUCAAAACUCAGCCUACUAUUCUUGUCCACGUGUAUGGUAAUGAUAGAAAGGAAAGAAUCAUUCCAAUGAUCCAGUGGAACACAUUAAAAUUGCUCUACCGUGGGGUUUAAAUUAGAAAGAGGGAACUCGUUUUUGAAAACCCUAAGCAGAAGGAAGAAAUCGAAGUGAUUUGAGCCACCGCCUCUGCUCCGCCGCCAGCCAUGAAGGUUCUAUCUCUCAACCAUGAAUGUAUCUUGCUUACACAAAAAAAAAAAAAAGCUUUUCGAAGUUUAAAAUUUAACCGUGCACCCUUUCUUUUUAUUGUUGUUUUUUCCUCUUUGCAGUUCAAUAUCGCCAACCCCACUACGGGAUGCCAGAAGAAGCUAGAAAUCGACGAUGACCAGAAACUGUAAGUUUCCUUGCUUAUCUCUUUAUAUAUUAUAUGCUUAUCUUUCAAUUUUCUUUAGCUUUAUUUUGGAACUUGAAGUUGGCAUGCUUUAAGUGAAGGUAGGUGUUGAACCAAUAAAGAUAAUGAAGACCUUUUGUAACAUGUUGAUAUGGUUUAUAUUGCUUAAAUUUUUUUUUGCAUAGGCAUUUCUUUCCUGGAUAAUUGAAAUGUUUUAUUCCAAAAUAAUCAGCAUUUGUAGCCAAUUUUUUAGCAUACUAGUGUCUUAGGUUAUUUCCGUAACUGACACAAAGAACCUUUUUUUUUUUUUGUUUUUCCCAUUUGAUUUAAUUACUAUAUGAGGAGAACUAGCUUGAACAGCAGAACCAGUUCGCCUAAAAAGCUCAUUUGGGUUUCUUUAUGCUUUCUAAAGUUCAAUAGGUGGCGUAGCUAACAGUUGUAACUCGUGAUUUGUUAAUUACAAUGUUUGAGUUUGAGCUGGGCAAUGACAUUUUGAAUUUAAUUUAUUAUGAACUUGUAAUUUGUGUUUAAUGUGGUGUAAUGGAUAAUGAUAUGGUGUGACUAAGACCAUUGCAGGUUAUGGGGGAAGCAGUUGGUCUUGUUUAAAGUACUUAUGCCUCGUUUGGUUACUAGUGUAAUUUGUGUUUAAAGUACUUAUAACUCAUUGGGUUACUUAUGCCUCGUUUGUUCACCAUGGAUUUCUUGUUUUUAUACUGUACAGCCGAGCAUUUUUUGACAAGAGAAUCUCACAAGAGGUCAUCGGAGAUGCUCUUGGAGAGGUAUGCUUUUUCCAAAAUUGGAUCCAAUGGAGUCUUAUUGUUUGUUCUUAGUUUCAUAAAAGACGUUUUACUUUUUUGGCAGGAAUUCAAGGGCUAUGUUUUCAAAAUCAAGGGAGGAUGUGACAAGCAGGGAUUCCCAAUGAAGCAAGGAGUGUUAACUCCUGGUCGUGUCCGUCUCUUGCUCCACAGAGGUUGGCCCUUACUGUUUAAUGCCAUCUGAAGGAUUGAACUUGUCUGAUGGUAGCAAUUUUACUGGCAUUUAUGUUAUGGUCUGUAAGUCAUAGUUUUUUCUCUCCAGGGACCCCUUGCUUCCGAGGAUAUGGUAGGCGCAACGGAGAGAGGAGGAGGAAGUCUGUUCGAGGAUGCAUUGUGAGUCAAGAUCUCUCUGUUCUCAACUUGGUAAUUGUGAAAAAGGGGGACAAUGAUCUUCCUGGGCUCACUGAUACUGAGAAACCAAGAAUGAGGGGUCCCAAGAGGGCAUCAAAGAUUCGUAAGCUCUUCAAUCUCUCAAAGGAGGAUGAUGUCCGGAAGUACGUCAACACUUACCGUCGAUCUUUCACGACAAAAUCAGGUAGGGUUUCAAGUAUUAUCAUCUCUUGUACGAUUAAUGUUGACAGUCGAUCUUUAAAGGGGUCGAGCUAUUUCAAGCUAAAAAUGCAUGCGUUGUUUACAUUGCCUAUUGCAGUGGUGUUUAUGCCUAUUAGAUACUUGAUUUUAUAUUUUUUCUCCCUGCAAUACAGGAAAGAAAGCCAGUAAAGCUCCCAAGAUCCAGAGAUUGGUAACUCCAUUAACUUUGCAGAGGAAGAGAGCAAGAAUAGCUGAGAAAAAGAAGAGAGUUGCAAAGGCAAAGGCCGAUGCUGCGGAGUACCAGAAGCUACUUGCCCAGAGAUUGAAGGAACAGAGAGAACGACGUAGCGAAAGUUUAGCCAAGAAAAGAUCCAGACUUUCUGCUGCAUCUAAACCGUCAAUUGCAGCUUAAUUUCAGCUCACUUAAAACCCAGUCAGAUUAUGAUAUCGUGUUGAAAACAAAUCAAAAGGAACAUGUUUGAUUUUAGAUUUUUCAUGUUUGAAAGGUUUAACAACUCUGUUUGGAAGUGUGCUCUGACAUUGCUGAAUUUACACUAUUCUUUGAUUCAAAAUUUGACAAUUCACUCAAGGCAGCAAUUUACACUAAUAUUUGAUUCAAAUAUUAAGAGUUCAAAUUCUUAUUAACAAGCACAUUGCACUCUUGAAGGAAAGAUUCAAGUUUGAACUUUGGAGAUACAUUGAUGGAAGGGGCAGCCACGGAAAUGAAGAAUAUUAAAAAAAUAAAAUUUCUUAUUAUUUGUUAAAAUAUCAAAAAAUAAAAUUUCUUAUUAUUUGUCAAAAUAAUUGCAUUUAACAUUUAUACUAGGACGUAUAUAUAUAUAAUUGAAAUUCAAGGAAAAUAUGAGAAUGGAACAACAAAUUUCAUAGUGGUAAAUAAAAUAGAAACAAGUUCCACAUGAUCAUCCCAACUAUUCUUCUCUAGAAUAGGUCUCCAAAGCUUUAACUUGGGGCACUUUUGUUUAAGGAACUGAUGAUCAAGUUCCACACCAAUGCAACCUACUAUAUCCAAAAACUCAAGCUGGGGACACCCAGAAAAAAUGCUUAGAACAAUUUCAGUGCUGAUAGGAUAUAAACCCAACUCGAGUAGGUGCUUUAGCCUAGGGAUUGUUGUAGCUAUUGCAUUCGCCUGAUCGUCGGUUGGGAAAGUGAUAGCCGAAUCCAGUAGGUGCUAGUUGCGGCAGAGUGACAAGAAAUUUACAGUCCUUUCCAAUGGCCUUUAUAGUAUAGGCAUCUAUUUUGCGACAGUAACUCAAUUCUAGGAAAGUGAUUGUGGAGAGCCUUUGGGCGCUUUGGUCUACUAUCCAACCACUCAUUUCACUUCGUGGCAGUCGUAAAACCUGAAGGGAGCCAGCACUUGCAGAUGCAAGGGCAAGAAAGAAAAGCAUCAUUUCACAUCAAGGUUAAUAAUUUAAUAGCGUAAAAGGGUGUCAUUAAUGAGCUGAGACUCACUACAUUACUGAGAAAAGCAAUUGUGAAAAAGGGUAAGAGCAAGUAAAACUUCUUUGUGAUGAAUGAGAAAAUGGUAUCAUUCUGAAGACCUGAAACAUGUAGGCUGCGGAGAGAUCCAUUGCUUCUUGUGAUUAGCAUUGGAAGCAUCCGAUCAAGAUGGUGGGACCGGCAGCGACGGCUCCAUUUAGCAAGGUCUAUAUCUUGACGACAAUAGGGACCUGUGAUUGCCUUUCUCCAGGAUUUGCGGACGCAGGGAAUGAUUGUUGGUAACUCUUGUAAGGACAGGUAACUGAAGAUCAGCCCCAAUACAUCAGGAAGUAGUUCAUCCCAGUGUAGAAACUCGCUUGCUCUUCUUCCAUCUUAUCUUCAUUCAAGCCAUGAAGGUCAUAAUCAAAUCACAACAAGCAGCCUCAGUCUAGAUAUUCACACCAUGCAUUUAUGUCUUCUUCAACUAAACGUUUACUGUGAGCUUAAGUCAUCAGAUGUUUUGUGUGCGUUCAAGGAACAGAGUAUUUGAAAGAUCAUCGUGGAUCAUUGCUGAAGGUGAAAAUGGAAAAGCUGAUACGUUGGACAUGAGUCAUUUGGUAUUUUGUGUUUAGAAGGAAAGGUUGAGCUUGGGUUUUUUUUAGAAGUUUGACAAAUAUAAUAUACCACAAUUACAAGUACAGGUACAAAUUAUAAAUUCAAAACAAUGGUAUCUAAAAUAAACCAAUACAAUUUAGAGGACAAUGAAUCGAACAAUGUCAGAUAAAACCUACCCAUAGCAUAUGCAUAUGGUGAGAGAGAGACUUACACAUUAUAAAUACAGAUGGUGAGACUUAAAUUUGGGCCUUCAACCUCAACCUUUGUCAAUAAUAUCAAAACCUCGUUGAUAGUUAAAUUUAUAUAUAUAUAUAUAUUUAUCUUAUAAAGCCUACAAAAUUAUCAUGGGUUUAGGGUUAUAAAAAUAUUUAUAAAACAAUGAUGUAAAAAACAGUUAAGGUGUUGGUUGAAAUGGUGAAAUGGAAGGUAAGGUAUUACAGAGGCUCUUUGUAUUAGGAGUUAGAUUGCAUUUUGUCAUUUUUACUAAAAACGGGUAAAUUAGUUUUUGUACAUUAGAUCAAAGAGUAAUAUGGUCAUUCUAUUAAAAAUUUCAUUCAUUUCUAUUGUUAAAAACUAGUCCUUAUACAUCAAAAUGAGGUAAACGUGACACUAUCUGAUUAUUUUAUCAGCUAUGCUAGUUUUUGACAGUAGAAAUGAAUGAAAUUUUCAAUGAAAAAACUAGUUUACUCUUUGAUCUAACAUAUAUAGAUUAAUUUGCCUACUUAUUGAGUAAUGGGUGCAAAAUGCAACUAGACUCCUAAUACAUGCGUUUCUGUGGUACUUUUACUUAAAAUGGAGAUAUUGAUAAUUAUAAUGUUUUAGAGGUUCAAAUCUCAUUAUGUACAUGUAUUUUUCUAGAUUCUAUAUAAAAAUACAAAACACCCUUAUAAUAAUAUUUGUUAAUUUAUUAAUAUAUUUUUCUUUGUAAUUUCUCAACUAAAUUGGAGGAACACGAUUGAUAGGUGACACUAACUUUAUCAACCACUUAAAGAAUAAUAUAUAUAUUGUUGAUACAAAGUACAACACAGAAGAACAAUGAGAAGAUUAUGGUGGCCUAAAUGAGGAGAUGAGGAGAAGGCUAUGAGGAUAGAGGAAGUUUUGUUGUAAAGAGUACUCAAGGACUGAUUAAGGGCUAAAAAGAUUUUCCUCAUUGCUUGGGAGGAUAUUUAUAGGAGAUGAUCUUUUGUCUGCUAGUGUGACGUGGCGAGUUGUUACAAUGAAGAUGGUUGUCACGGAGUAUGUGAAGUUAUUCUUUUAAAAACUAUGAGUUGGUUAUGCCCAAGUGAAUCCCAUUGGUUGUUGAAAGAAGUGUUCACACUUGAGAAUGUUUACAAUGAAAAGCAAGUUGCUAAGGUCAAAAGGAGGAAGUGUCACCCAUAUUAGCUGAUGGUACGUAGUAGGUGAUCAGACCAAGAGGUCACUCAUUUGGAGGUAGUCGGAUGAUCGAGGAGUAUGAGUCACUCUUUCUUGUCUAGGUUGAGUCUUCAAGGUAUGCCACGUGUCUAGCCUGAGUGGUAGGAUAAUUUUUUUAUCCACAAUCAUACCAAAUUAACAUAAUUCAAUUCUUGAUUCAAACACAUAUUUUGGCAACAAUUCAAAAUAUUUAAAUUUAAAUUUCUAAAAGUAUUAAAAAGUGAUUUUUGUUGUGAAGGUGUAAGUUUAUUAGAUGUGACAUGAUCAAUAGACCAUAAUAUUUAAACAUUGGGAUGAGAGAAUGUUGCACAAAAAAAGUUCAUACGUAUCUCUUAAAUGCAUUGUGUCAAACUACUUAAUCAUGAUUUAAGAAUAAAGAUCCAUUCCCAUACUUAUCACGCUAUUUAAUCACGAAUAAAGCCACAGAUUCAAUCCAUGCAAAGACGCAGUUCCUAUAUAGGUUAAAGGUUGCUCACAAUAUGAAGAUGUUGAAAGCUGAUUUACAUAUCUAAAUACUCAUCAUCAUCGGAUUCAUCAGAUUCGAAGAGAAUGACCAGAUACAGCAGCAGAAUCUCUAACUUUGGGUACUUUUCUUUAAGGAACUUAUGAUCAAGUUUCUCACUCAAGAAUUCAUCUAUUUUCAAAUGCACAAGCUGUGGACAGCAAGAGAGGAGGUUGAGAACACAUUCAGUGCUGAUACAACGAUAAGCAAACUCAAGUUGCUUUAGCCUUGGCAUUGUAGAUGCUAUUGCAUUCGCCUCAUCCUCCGCUUCGACCUUGUCUGCUGAAUCCGGAGAGUACAUGUUGCGACACAGAACUACAAGAUGUUUACAGUGCUUUCCGAUGGCCUCUAUAGCUUGGGCACCGAUUUUGUGACAGUAACUCAAAUCCAAGAAAGUGACUAUGGAAAGCCUUCGGGCAGUUUGUUUGACUAUCGAAUCACUUAUUAAACUUCUUGGCAGUCGUAAAACCUGAAGGGAGCCAACACUUGCAAACGCAGAAAACAAAAAAACAUCAUUUUAUAUCAAGUUAAUAAUUUAAUGACGUAAAAGAGUCUGAUUAAUGAGUUGAAACUCACUACAUUACUCAGAAAAGCAAUUGUGAAAAAUGGUGAUACCAAGUGGAACUUACUUCUCUGUGAUGAAUGAGAAAAUGGAAUCAUUCUGAAGACCUGAAACAUGUAGGCUGCGGAGAGAUCCAUUGCUUCUUGUGAUUAGCAUUCGAAGCAUUCGAUCGAGUUGGUGGGACAGGCGGCGACAGCUCCGUUCAUCAAGGUCUAUAUACUGCCAACAAUGGGAACCCGUGACUACCUUACUCCAGGAUUUGCAGACGCAGGGAAUGACUGUCAGUAACUCUUGUAUGGGCAAGUUGGUGAAGAUCAGCCCCAAUACAUCAGGAAGUAGUUCAUCCCAGUGUCGAAACUCGCUUUGCUCUUCUUCCAUCUGAUCUUCAUUCAAGUCAUGAAGGUCAUAAUCAAAUCACAACAGGAAAGAAAAAUAAAUCAAAGAUUAGGGUUUACCUUAUAUCACUUUCCUUGCAACUUGGAUUAUUAUGCAAAACCUAAACACAAA